CUUGACCGAGCCGAGCAGCAGCGGGGCUCCGUCCGGGCGGCCCUGCCCGUAGGUGGCCAGGAGCGCGGUCGCCUC
rnacentral:antisense_RNA from 1 species